AUAAUACUCCCUCCGUUCCGAAUUACUUGUCGCGGGUAUGGAUGUAUCUAGAUGUAUUUUAGUUUUAGAUACAUCCAUUUCUGCGACAAGUAAUUUGGAACGGAGGGAGUAUCUU
rnacentral:pre_miRNA from 1 species